rnacentral:rRNA from 1 species
CAGUAGCCGCGGGAAUACGAAGGGUGCAAGCGUUAAUCGGAAUUACUGGGCGUAAAGCGUGCGUAGGCGGUGAGUUAAGUCUGCUGUGAAAUCCCCGGGCUCAACCUGGGAAUGGCAGUGGAUACUGGCUCGCUAGAGUGUGUCAGAGGAUGGUGAAAUUCCCGGUGUAGCGGUGAAAUGCGUAGAGAUCGGGAGGAACAUCAGUGGCGAAGGCGGCCAUCUGGGACAACACUGACGCUGAGGCACGAAAGCGUGGGGAGCGAACAGGAUUAGAUACCCCCGUAGUCCCUGUCUCUUAUAC